ensembl:lncRNA
AUUUUUGUUUUCAAAUUUAAGAAUAACUGUGUGAGAUGAUGCAUGAGCCUGAAUUUAUGACUUUAUAAUCAGCUAAUCUGACACAGAGCCUGAACCCACCGAGGACUAAGAAGCCGUUGACUCGGAAGUUAUUAAUGAAGACUUUCACCAACAUGUCAAAACAAUCCAUUAAAGAUGAAAUGAUUUACAUGACUCUGGCUUUGUUAAGAAGAAAAACCUCUCUGGCUUUAUUAUUUACCGCAUAGAAUCACUGUGUAAACAUAAUGUACUUGAACACCACGGUUAUUAUAAUGACUAAAAAUAGGUUUGAAAAAUGUCAUUAAAUGGAACCAAAAUGUUUAAAAAAAACAAAGUAAAACUGAAACACUGUUGCGAACUUGUAAAACAAAAAUAAAACCAAAAAUAAGUUAAUCAAAUAACUUUAUUUUAUUAACAAUAAAAUAAGUUAAUUACUACAGAGAGAGACAUACUUGGAAUCAAUCCUUUGUGUUUUUGUUGCACAUAUAGUUUUGGUGAGAAGUUUACACACAAUGAUCAUAAAUGGGCAUAAAUGUCAUGGGAAUGUCUUUGAUCUUUUUCCAGAUUGUACAGCAUACAUGUUAAUCUUUUGGAUUUUCUUUAUUCCACACAGAGUCAGAAGUAUACAUACAAACUGAAAUAUAUACAUAUACUCAAAUAUUUAAAAAAAAACUCAAACUUGUGUUCCAGCAGGACAAUGAUCCCAAACACACAUGAGAACUGAUUUCAGAAUAGGAUAGAGCAGGCCCCGACUUCAGCCCUAUUGGAAAUUUGUGGACUGUGCUUAAACGUCAGGUCCGUGCCUGUGCCAGGAAACCAAUCAGUUUAAAUGAACUCUACCAAUACUGCCAAGAAGAGUAAUCAAAUAUCCAGGAAAUGUAUUCCAGAAGCUUACCAAUGGAUAUUUAACCAAAGAUUAGUGGAAGUGUAUGUAUAUACUUGAGCCGGAUUAGAGAAAAUCCAAAAUAGAUUCAAACUUGUGCACCCAGUUUUCUAAAGUCAUUAAAGAUGUUGUACAAUCAUUCCACCCUGGAAAAAGAUCAGUUCAGAGAAAUCAUUGAAAGCCCCAAAAUACCAUGACCUUCAUGCCCAUGAUGAGAGUAUGUAAACUUCUGACCACAACUAUAAAUUAUUGCAUGUAUAUAAUUUAAUGAAGUCUACUUCCUCUGUAAUACAUUAUACUUUUUUCACAGGGAUCAGUGUCAUAAAUUUGAAAAAAUUCUAGAAUAUGAGCAGAAAAAGCAAAUAAUAGCCUAUGUGUGGUCAGUUUCAGUUAAUUUGAUCAUGUUUUUUUUUUAAUCAUUUUCAUCACUCAUUUUUUUUUACGUAUACAGACUGGAUUAAAAAAUGGAAACCUUUUUUUUUUUAAGAAAAAGGUUUUUAUCAAAGAUUUUAAAAAAAGCAAAACACAAAUUUGUUUACACUAUAUUUAAAUUGAUUUAUUUCACCACCAGGUGGCAGACUUGGUUUUCACUUUCAGUGUCCAAAAGCAUCUGUGCAUGUUAUUUGCACAUCAGUCAGACAGACAUGAGAAUCUUUUUUUAAAGUAGCAGUUUUCAGCUUCAGUUUUCCACCAGAUAACUUGCAGAGCUGUCCAGGAUGGUCACAUCUUCUCACCGAUGCUUCUUUCAACAUCUUGAUUUACGUAAUCUGCCUCAUCUGUAAAACAUGUGCAUAAGUGGUUAAUGAUGAAAACACGUCCAGACCAUUGACACAUUUGCAUAAUGACUGAAACUAGCACCACUGACAAACUGGGCUGUGAGGUCAACUAAAACCUGGGCAGCUCUGCUUAAGCACAGCUGAAAGCAGGCCUUUAAAUGAAUGUUUUCACAGUCACCGUACUGUGGAAAAGUCUUAAGCCACGCUUAUAUAUAUUUUUUUCCAAGGAGCCACAUUUCUUAUUUUUGAAAGUGGUCUUAAGCAAUAGUUUUCCAGGCUUUCUGAUGGUCUUCCUGACAAAAUAUAAAGAAAUGAAAGGUAGCACAAGACUUUUUCACCGUGCUCUUUGUUCCUCUGUUGCAUUUAAAUCAUAUAUCUGAGUGCUUGAGAUUUCCAAGCAGCUGCUGUAACAUGUUGGCUGUUACUGUAUAAAGCAAAUGCCCCAGGUAGUCAGUAAUAUGGCACCACAUUUACUGUUGGUUGAAAGCUGUGUGAAGUAAUAUAGUGAGGCAGCCAAUUAGACGUUCACAGGACUCUGGAACCUAUAAGCAUCCUCAGUGGGCCAUUUUCUGUUAGUGCUCCUGUGAUGUUAUCAGCCAGAAAAGUUAGACAUGUUAUAUAUGGCAGUAUUUUGGUCUUGUGGUUAUACUGGGUGAGUAUGCAAAUAAAGACGUCCAACGCCAUAUAAGUGCUACUACUUAUAUGGCGUUAAAAUAACUACGUCUUUUAUGGUAUUUAAUCAGCGGGAAACACUCUGGGUUCCCCAAAAUGCCCUGCUCACGUCAUCUGGUUGAUGUUACUUGACGUCAGUGUUGCUGAGCUUUCGUUUGAAACUGUUAUGAAUGCAAAUUAUUGCGUGGAAUAACUUUUAGUGGCAGAAUCCCUUUGAUCUCUGGUCUUCUUUAUGACAUCAGCACACGAAAACCUAUAAAUAGGGGAGAGGUUCUCACUCUUGUCAGUCUUUCAAAGAUAGUGGAAGAAUUCACUAGGCAGGAAAACACUUAAACUACUCGAAACUUCCGUUUCUGACACAGUUGACCGUAUUUUUAAAAAAAUCUUUUAGUUGGUGCAGAGAUUUAGCAUCAACUUCAAUUUGAAAUAUGAGUCUGUCAAAUCCUGUUGCAUGCAACAUGAGAGCCGAGAACGAAAAACUUCAACAGCAAAUCAAAGAGCUGAAAAAUGAGAAUAAAACUCUCAAACAACAAAACUCUACCAUACGUGACCUUAAAGUCGAGAACGCCGACCUUAAGGAGCAAAAAAGAGAGCUCAUAAAUGAGAACAAG